UUUUAAAGACAUGUUUUUGAUAUUCAAGAGAUGGCGCUGAUAUUAUAAUUUUUAUUCUAUCUCUUUUUCUUAUUAUUUGCUUGGUUCUUCUAAACUGUGUAUUGUAUAAAGUUUACUUAUGAUACGUGAAAACGAUAGCUCCGUAAGAAAUUAUAAAUCUUUGAAAUAGUAUUGGCUAAUAGGUUAACUUUUAUAACAAUUUUGUUUACUAGUAAUCCUAUAAACAAUAUUAUUAAAUAAUGGUUAAAUUAACGCCAGAUUUAAUUCAACAAUCUAUGCAAUAUAUUAAUCCUGUAAAAGAUCGGGAAUUGGAUCUGAGAGGAUAUAAAAUACCUACAAUUGAAAACUUGGGCGCAACUUUGGAUCAAUUUGACACUAUUGAUUUUUCUGAUAAUGAUAUAAGAAAAUUAGAUGGAUUUCCUUUAUUAAAAAGAAUCAAAACUCUUUUUUUUAAUAAUAAUCGUAUUGUUAGAAUUGGAGAAGGAUUGGAACAUUGUAUUCCAAAUUUAGAAACUCUUAUGUUAACUGGAAACAUGAUUCAAGAACUUGGUGAUUUGGAACCACUCACACAAUUAAAAAAUUUAACUAAUCUUUGUUUGCUACAAAAUCCAGUUUCUGCAAAACCUCAAUAUAGACAAUAUGUUGUAUAUAGAUUUCCACAAUUGAGACUUUUAGAUUUCCGAAAAAUCAAGAUGAAAGAACGUGAAGCUGCAAUUGCAUAUUUUAGAAGUAAAAGAGGAAAAGAAAUGGUUCGUGAAAUAGCAAAGAAAGUAAAAACACAAAAUUCUGGUACAUCUAUCGACAAACCACUAACAACUCCAGAAGAACGAAAUAAAAUUAGGGAAGCUAUUACAAAUGCUUCUUCCCUUGAAGAAGUGCAGCGUCUUAGCAAAUUACUUCAAGCAGGACAUAUGCCUAAUGAAGAUAGAUUACAAAAUGGAAAUACAAUGCCUGAAGCAAUGGAAGAAGAGGAUGAUUGAAUUAUUUUGUAUUUUUCAAUUUUAAAUGCAACAAGAAAAAUUUUUUCUAUUAUUAUAAUAUCACUAGAGGUCAGUAUUGUGCGUUAUUCGCACUCUCUUGAUUUUGUGUUAUUUUUCCGAUUAAAAUUCUAUAUUAUAUUAAUAAAAUGGGUAAUACAUUACAAAAAGCAUUAAGUUCAGAUCCUUUUCCGGAAUCG